AUACGUAGGUGACAAGCGUUAUCCGGAUUUACUGGGCGUAAAGGGCGUGUAGGCGGUCUUGCAAGUCAGAAGUGAAAUUCCUGAGCUCAACUCGGGCGCUGCUUCUGAAACUGCAGGACUUGGGUGCUGGAGGGGAUAGCGGAAUUCCUCGUGGAGCGGUAAAAUGCGCAGAUAUUAGGAAGAACACCGGUGGCGAAGGCGGCUAUCUGGACAGUAACUGACGCUGAGGCGCGAAAGCGUGGGGAGCAAACAGGAUUAGAUACCCUGGUAUUCCACGCCGUAAACGAUGAAUACUAUGUGUAGGGGGUAUCGACUCCCUCUGUGCCGCAGUUAACACAAUAAGUAUUCCGCCUGGGGAGUACGGCCGCAAGGUUGAAACUCAAAUGAAUUGACGGGG
rnacentral:rRNA from 1 species